rnacentral:rRNA from 1 species
GUACUGCGAAACUGCGAAUGGCUCAUUAAAUCAGUUAUCGUCUAUUUGAUAGUACCUUACUACUUGGAUAACCGUGGUAAUUCUAGAGCUAAUACAUGCUGAAAACCCCGACUUCGGAAGGGAUGUAUUUAUUAGAUUAAAAACCAAUGCCCUCCGGGGCUCACUGGUGAUUCAUGAUAACUUCUCGAAUCGCACGGCCUUGCGCCGGCGAUGGUUCAUUCAAAUUUCUGCCCUAUCAACUUUCGACGGCUGGGUCUUGGCCAGCCGUGGUGACAACGGGUAACGGAGGGUUAGGGCUCGACCCCGGAGAAGGAGCCUGAGAAACGGCUACUACAUCCAAGGAAGGCAGCAGGCGCGCAAAUUACCCAAUCCCGACACGGGGAGGUAGUGACAAUAAAUACUGAUACAGGGCUCUUUUGGGUCUUGUAAUUGGAAUGAGUACAAUUUAAUUCCCUUAACGAGGAACAAUUGGAGGGCAAGUCUGGUGCCAGCAGCCGCGGUAAUUCCAGCUCCAAUAGCGUAUAUUAAAGUUGUUGCAGUUAAAAAGCUCGUAGUUGAACCUUGGGCCUGGCUGGCCGGUCCGCCUCACCGCGUGCACUGGUCCGGCCGGGCCUUUCCCUCUGGGGAGCCGCAUGCCCUUCACUGGGCGUGUCGGGGAACCAGGACGUUUACUUUGAAAAAAUUAGAGUGUUCAAAGCAGGCUUAUGCUCGGAUACAUUAGCAUGGAAUAAUGGAAUAGGACGUGCGGUUCUAUUUUGUUGGUUUCUAGGACCGCCGUAAUGAUUAAUAGGGACAGUCGGGGGCAUCAGUAUUCAGCUGUCAGAGGUGAAAUUCUUGGAUUUGCUGAAGACUAACUACUGCGAAAGCAUUUGCCAAGGAUGUUUUCAUUAAUCAGGAACGAAAGUUAGGGGAUCGAAGACGAUCAGAUACCGUCGUAGUCUUAACCAUAAACUAUGCCGACUAGGGAUCGGACGGUGUUAUUCUUUGACCCGUUCGGCACCUUACACGAAAGUACAAGUUUCUGGGC